UCCUUAUGUUCUAAUGAUGGGGAAGGUAGCAGAUGUAAACAGAUAAAUAUGGUGAAUAAGUAGAAUUUGGUAAUCGCAAAAGGAUAUUGAAUUUACCUCAACUUGCAAAUAAACAUUGCGAUGAGAAUUUUUGGAUCAGAACAAAAAUAUUAUCUGCUAGACUUUCACUGUGAAGAAGAUGAGAAUGAAUGGGACCUCUUCCUGGGACAGAUGACAGAUUGUCAAUGAUGUUCUUUGGAUUAUUGGCCAAGUUUUGGCAGCCCAGGGAUCUACUGGAGGUGGCACUGGAAACUGUAAAACCCUGGAAUUACUGCCAAAUGGUCAGCACAGCAUAAAGGUUUACAUUAUCAUAUGUGAGCUGUUUGGAGAUAAGAGUGCAUCAGAGUUUCAUCUUGGCUUAGUUGAUCUGCUAAUGAGUUUGUGGCCUGCAACAAAUAUUGGCUUGUCAAGUAAGUUCCUACAUUCUUGUGUGAGAGCUAAGGUUCUGAGGUCCCACAUUUAUCCACCACAUUGAGAGAAGGCAAUCAUUAGUAUCAGAGGCUGGUCCUACCUUGACCCCAAAUACCUCAUAGCAGUCUAGGGAAUUUUAAGUAUUUUAGAAUUUGGGAGUAUUGGUGAGACAUCCCUGCAUCCCCCACUGACUA
rnacentral:lncRNA from 1 species